rnacentral:lncRNA from 10 species
CUCAGGACAGCCUUAUACAUGUGCAGGUGAAGCUGGAUCACGUCAACAGACUACACCUAAAGCAGUCUGGAUGUGUGUUGGGAGGAUCACUUCACCUGAGCUAUGUAUAUCUAUCUCAUAGGAUUUCAGGGUUAUACAAUAUACCAUGUGACUGCUGAGUAAAACAGAAGACUCAGACAGGAACACAGCUCUCAUUCAUAACAUGCCUCCUCUCCAGACUAACAAAGCGCAAUCCUGGUGAGCUACUGAACUUAAAGCUGCAGAACUGGAAUGAGGGCUUGUUACCCAGAACUCUCUUGAAGGAAAAGAGCUGAAGCAAUGCAUAUGGCUUCACAGCUGGAGACCACACUCCUCAGCCUCCUUACAACCAACCUGUCUUGUUUGAAUCCAUUCUCUUCAAGGGAAUGAGAACAAAAUUUACGUGUGCAGCUUCCAGCCCAUCAUCCAGUUCCCUGUCUUCUGCUAGCAGUACCCUGAUUUUGCUCUGUGGAAUCAUCCUCUUCCUGACUUUCAGCUCAUGUGCUUCUGGUAAUGAAUGGUGGCGCUUGGAUGUGGCUCCCAGCUUUCUGAAAGGAUACUCCAAAAAGAAUGUUCUAACCUCCAAAGUUGGUUUCCAUAAGGGUGCUGGGAGAAUCAAACAGUUUAAUAUAUGUAAAAUGCUUAGAAACAUGCUGCCUGCCUGGAGGGAUUUAAAGCUGUUCAUCUAAGCACUCUUUUGCUGUCACCAAUGGCAUCUUUGGCACAUAUAUGCAAGACACUGUGUACCACUUGUUGCCCAGGUUGGUCUCAAAUCUUGAUUCCUGCUCUCAAGGGAUCCUUCCACUUCAGCUUCCCAAAUCACGGGAAUUACAGGUGCCACCAACUGUGCCCAGUCACAUGAAUUCUUGAUACCUUUCUUACUUAUUUCUACAUUCCCUAACUUACCCAUAAAAUUAAACCCAUUGAUAUGGCUUGGUUCUGUGUCCCCAUUUAAAUCUCAUCUCAAACUGUAAUACCCACAUGUCAAGGGAGAGGCCUGGUGGGAGGUGAUUGGAUCAUGGGGGUGGUUACUGCUGUGUCGUUCUCAUGACAGUGAGUGAGUUGUCACAAGAUCUGGUGGUUUUAUAAGGGGCUCUUUCCCCCUUCACUCUCUCUCUCCGCAUGUAAGAAGUGCCUGCUUUCCCUUCCACCAUGAUUGUGGGUUCCCUGA